AUUGAACGCUGGCGGCAGGCCUAACACAUGCACGUCGAGCGAGAGGCGGACGGGGGAGUAAUGUAUGGGGACUGCCCGAUAGAGGGGGAUAACUCCAGGAAACGGUAGCGAAUAAAGCAGACUAUCGGAUAACCCAGAUGGGAUUAGCUAGUAGGGGAGGUAAGGGCUCACCUAGGCGAAGAUCCCUAGCUGGUCUGAGAGUAUGAUCCGCCACACUGGGACUGAGACACGGCCCAGACUCCUACGGAGGCAGCAGUGGGGAAUAUUGCACAAUGGGCGCAAGCCUGCUGCAGCCAUGCCGCGUGUAUGAAGAAGGCCCUAGGGUUGUAAAGUACUUUCAGUCGGGAGGCGUUACCAACAGAAGAAGCACCGGCUAACUCCGGGCCAGCAGCCGCGGUAAUUC
rnacentral:rRNA from 1 species